GACGUGGUGGCCUAAUGGUUAGUGUGUUGGACUCCUGAUCAAGCGGUCCGGGUUCGAGCGCUGGCCAGGGUCA